AUUGAACGCUGGCGGCAGGCUUAACACAUGCACGUCGAGCGAGCGGCGGACGGGUGAGUAAUGUCUGGGAAACUGCCUGAUGGAGGGGGAUAACUACUGGAAACGGUAGCUCAUACCGCAUACCAUCAGAUGUGCCCAGAUGGGUUUCGCUAGUAGGUGGGGUAAUGGCUCACCUAGGCGACGAUCCCUAGCUUGUCUGAGAGGAUGACCAGCCACACGGGAACUGAGACACGGUCCAGACUCCUACGGGAGGCAGCAGUGGGGAAUAUUGCACAAUGGGCGCAAGCCUGAUGCAGCCAGGCCGCGUGUGUGAAGAAGGCCUUCGGGUUGUAAAGCACUUUCAGCGAGGAGGCGUUACUCGCAGAAGAAGCACCGGCUAACUCCGUGCCAGCAGCCGCGGUAAUAC
rnacentral:rRNA from 1 species